GCCUGCCUGGCUCAGUCGGGAGAGCAUGUGACUCUUGAUCUCAGGGUCGUGAGUUCGAGCCCCACCUCAGGCC
rnacentral:tRNA from 1 species